rnacentral:rRNA from 1 species
UUAUGUGAUCGUCUCUCGCAUAUCAAUAAGCGGAGGAAAAGAAACUAACAAGGAUUCCCCUAGUAACGGCGAGUGAAGCGGGAAGAGCCUCAAAUUUGAAAUCUUAAAGGGUUUCCCUUUACGAAUUGUAGUUUAAAGAAGUGUUUUCUGUUGAGGUUUUGGUAAAAGUUCUUUGGAAUAGGACAUCAUAGAGGGUGAGAAUCCCGUAUUUGACCUUUACUUUCAACUUUGUGAUACACUUUCAAAGAGUCGGAUUGUUUGGGAAUGCAGUCCAAAAUGGGUGGUAAAUUUCAUCUAAAGCUAAAUAUUGGCGAGAGACCGAUAGCGAACAAGUACCGUGAGGGAAAGAUGAAAAGAACUUUGAAAAGAGAGUUAAACAGUACGUGAAAUUGUCGAAAGGGAAGCGUUUGACACCAGUGUUGUUUUUCUGAAAAUCAAUUAAAGAACUGUUUAUGCUAAGUUGUUUAGACUUUAUCAGCUAACUGUUUAGUUUUGAGCUUUUCUUUAAUGCACUUUUCAGUUAACAAGUCAACAUCAAUUUCUUUUGCUGUAAAAAAGCUUGAGGAAGGUGGCUUGAGAUUCGUCUUAAGUGUUUAUAGCCUCUUGCCUAUGCAGUCGGAGAGAUUGAGGUCUGCAGCGUAGAUCCUUCGGGGCUAAAUGCAUUUGUGCUAAGUUAUAGCAUUUUAUAGACAACUUGUUGACUAUGAUUUGUCUUGUAGCUUACUCGCUUAUGUUAUUUUACCUACGCUUAGGAUGUUGAGUAGCGACAUACGCAC